GAUGAACGCUGGCGGCGUGCCUAAUACAUGCAAGUCGAGCGAAUGGAUUAAGAGCUUGCUCUUAUGAAGUUAGCGGCGGACGGGUGAGUAACACGUGGGUAACCUGCCCAUAAGACUGGGAUAACUACGGGAAACCGGGGCUAAUACCGGAUAACAUUUUGAACCGCAUGGUUCGAAAUUGAAAGGCGGCUUAGGCUGUCACUUAUGGAUGGACCAGCGUCGCAUUAGCUAGUUGGUGAGGUAACGGCUCACCAAGGCAACGAUGCGUAGCCGACCUGAGAGGGUGAUCGGCCACACUGGGACUGAGACACGGCCCAGACUCCUACGGGAGGCAGCAGUAGGGAAUCUUCCGCAAUGGACGAAAGUCUGACGGAGCAACGCCGCGUGAGUGAUGAAGGCUUUCGGGUCGUAAAACUCUGUUGUUAGGGAAGAACAAGUGCUAGUUGAAUAAGCUGGCACCUUGACGGUACCUAACCAGAAAGCCACGGCUAACUACGUGCCAGCCGCCGCUGUAA
rnacentral:rRNA from 1 species